rnacentral:rRNA from 1 species
AUACGGAAGGUCCGGGCGUUAUCCGGAUUUAUUGGGUUUAAAGGGAGCGCAGGCGGAGAUGCAAGCGUGACGUCAAAUUUCGGGGCUCAACCCCGUCUCGCGUCGCGAACUGCGUCCCUUGGUUGCGGGAAGGGGAGGCGGAACUCGAGGGGUAGCGGUGAAAUGCAUAGAUAUCACGAAGAACUCCGAUCGCGAAGGCAGCCUUCCGGCCCGUCAACGACGCUCAUGCUCGAAGGUGCGGGUAUCAAACAGGAUUAGAUACCCUGGUAGUCCGCACAGUAAACGAUGGACACCCGCGGUUUGGCCCGUAUGGCUGAGCCGCCAAGCGAAAGCGUUAAGUGUCCCACCUGGGGAGUACGCCGGCAACGGUGAAACUCAAAGGAAUUGACGGG